CUUCUCUUUCUCCUCUAGCGGAUCUCUUCUUCUUCCUCUUCUCUCUCCAUUAAAAAAUGAAGAACAACAAUCGUCACAAAUUAAAAAACUAAAAUCAUCACACAUAAAAAGAAGCAAUAAGAGCUAACCAUUUUCCUUGAUUUUUGCUCAACAUCUUUUUCUUCUUCUUAUUUGUUAACCCAUAUGGCAUAUCUGAACUCGUCCAAACAUGCAUACCAAUGUUCAUCCAGAUUCAAAAUUAAUGAAAUUAGAAAAAAUUUACCCAAAUUUGCGAAUCUAUAUUCAACCCUUUUUAAAACUCGAAAAAAUGGAAUUGUUGUUGAUGUUAAUUUGCGGUUGAGGAGUUGUUGUUCAUCCAUUAAAGAAGUUACUUAUUUGUGAUGAUUAUCAUUGUUCUUCGUUUUUUUAAUGGAGAGAGAAGAGAAAGAAGAAGAAAGAAGAAGAGAGAAGAAGAG
rnacentral:lncRNA from 1 species